rnacentral:rRNA from 1 species
UAAGGAAUAUUGGUCAAUGGACGGAAGUCUGAACCAGCCAUGCCGCGUGCAGGAAGACGGCCCUACGGGUUGUAAACUGCUUUUACAGGGGAAUAAACCUUGGUACGUGUACCAAGCUGAAUGUACUCUGAGAAUAAGGAUCGGCUAACUCCGUGCCAGCAGCCGCGGUAAUACGGAGGAUCCGAGCGUUAUCCGGAUUUAUUGGGUUUAAAGGGUGCGUAGGUGGCCUGUUAAGUCAGGGGUGAAAGACGGUAGCUCAACUAUCGCAGUGCCCUUGAUACUGAUGGGCUUGAAUGAACUAGAGGUAGGCGGAAUGUGACAAGUAGCGGUGAAAUGCAUAGAUAUGUCACAGAACACCAAUUGCGAAGGCAGCUUACUAUGGUUUUAUUGACACUGAGGCACGAAAGCGUGGGGAUCAAACA